CCGUCUUAGCGCAUUUGACGCGAUUUCCGACAUGUAGGCCCCACUAGCCAGGCCCAUUUUUUUUUGUACCCUAUAAGUUUUUUGUUGUGUCCUAUUUUGCAUUAUCUAUUAGAGAUGCUCUUACAAGAGCUUCCGUCUUACGGCUUUUAACACUCCAUGUCCCCUCCGCCGCACCUGGCACUCUCUCUCGUGAAGACCCUUUUCUUUUGGCAUCAAAGCCUUGCCUGUUACUGUAAUGACAAAUGGUUUCUUUGGUCUUUUUACGUCCAUAGUCAUUGUAAAUGUUUCUCCACUUUGUUAUUUAUUUAGGUGACCAUUUUUGUGUGUGUGAAACAUUUUCUUAGUUUCUCUCUCCCUUUUUGUGUGUCGGGAACACUUUCUUAGUUCUCCCCUUUUCAUUGGUGAAGAAAUGGUUGUGUCGAAUUAAAAUGUGCUGAUUUGGCAUGGCGAGACUUGACAAACCAAUCUAUUUAUUUGUGCCAAACACAAGAAUCAUCUCAAUUAUUGAAGCCAUUGCAUUACGUCUAUUACAUAACCUUAACCAAACAGUAAAUGGACGACGGAUAUUGUAUUGCUCGAGGGGGCAGCGUUGCUACGAAAGUGAAGGUACCAUUUUUUUACUUGUAUAUGUAGCUUUUGCAAGUUCUUCAAAAUACUUGCACAUGCAAACUUUAAAAUCCUUUUUUUGUAAUUAAUGGUUACUCUUACUCUUUUAGGUGAACAAUCUUAAUGUUACCAUCCUAUUGUAUAGAUGCCCAUCGGGCCAGGCCCUGCUACGUCCUCAGGCCCUCGGGCCGACCCCGCACAUCCCAUUUUUUUUCAUACCAGGCUUCAGCAGUUGGGCCUUGGCCUCUUUUCUCCUUCAUUUUGCAUCCUCUUUUGCUGGGCUAGGCCCAAUUAGCAUUAUUCUUUUUUCCCUCCCUGUUGGGUUAGGCCCAGUCAGCAUUUUCUUUUUUUUUUUCUUUUUCUCCUUGCUGGGCUGAGACAGGCUGUCGUACCAGUGGCCCAUCAGGUCCCACUGAUACAGGACGCGUGGGUCGCGACUAAUGAAGCCCCGCCAGGUUGGCCUCCCGAGAAGGAUAGACUCGGGAAGCCCGCCCCAAAGAGACAGUCAUUGGCGAAGACAAAGCCAAGAACCGGAACAGGAGAAGCGCCCGCUUCGGUAGGUACCCGGGAACUCUGGUCCUGGGAAG
rnacentral:lncRNA from 1 species